rnacentral:rRNA from 1 species
GCUGGCGGUAGGCUUAACACAUGCAAGUCGUGCGAGAAAGUACCUUCGGGUGCGAGUAGAGCGGCGGACGGGUGAGUAACGCGUAGGAAUCUACCUAGUAGAAGGGGAUAGCCCGAGGAAACUCGGAUUAAUACCGUAUACCUCCUUAGGGAGAAAGAGGGCUUAGCUUUGAUGCUCUCGCUAUUAGAUGAGCCUGCGUAAGAUUAGCUUGUUGGUGAGGUAAUGGCUCACCAAGGCGACGAUCUUUAGCUGGUCUGAGAGGACGAUCAGCCACAUUGGGACUGAGACACGGCCCAGACUCCUACGGGAGGCAGCAGUGGGGAAUAUUGGACAAUGGGCGCAAGCCUGAUCCAGCCAUACCGCGUGUGUGAAGAAGGCUUUCGGGUUGUAAAGCACUUUAAGUAAGGAGAAAAAGAUUGCAGUUAAUACCUGCUAUCCGUGAUGUUACUUACAGAAUAAGGACCGGCUAAUUCCGUGCCAGCAGCCGCGGUAAUACGGAAGGUCCAAGCGUUAAUCGGAAUUACUGGGCGUAAAGCGCGCGUAGGUGGUUUUUUAAGUUGGAUGUGAAAGCCCUGGGCUCAACCUAGGAACUGCAUCCAAAACUAGAUGACUAGAGUACGAAAGAGGGAAGUAGAAUUCACAGUGUAGCGGUGGAAUGCGUAGAUAUUGUGAAGAAUACCAAUGGCGAAGGCAGCUUCCUGGUUCAGUACUGACACUAAGGUGCGAAAGCGUGGGUAGCGAACAGGAUUAGAUACCCUGGUAGUCCACGCCGUAAACGAUGACAACUAGCUGUUGGGAGACAAGAUCUCUCAGUGGCGCAGCUAACGCUUUAAGUUGUCCGCCUGGGGAGUAC